rnacentral:rRNA from 1 species
GAUGAACGCUGGCGGCGUGCCUAAUACAUGCAAGUCGAGCGGAAGGACGAGAAGCUUGCGUCUCUGAGGUUAGCGGCGGGCGGGUGAGUAACACGUGGAUAACCUACCUAUAUGACUUGGAGGACUUCGGGGAACCGGAGCUAAUACCAGAUAAUACUUUGAACCGCAUGGUUCAAAAGUGAAAGACGGUUUUGGUGACACUUAUAGCUGAAUCCGGGUUGCAUUAGCUAGUUGGUAAGGUAACGGCUUACCAAGGCAACGAUGCAUAGCCGACCUGAGAGGGUGAUCGGCCACACUGGAACUGAGACACGGUCCAGACUCCUACGGGAGGCAGCAGUGGGGAAUCUUCCGCAAUGGGCGCAAGCCUGACGCAGCCACGCCGCGUGAGUGAUGAAGGUCUUCGGAUUGUAAAACUCUGUUAUUAGGGAAGAACAUAUGUGUAAGUAACUGUGCCCAUCUUGACGGUACCUAAUCAGAAAGCCACGGCUAACUUCGUG